ACAGCUUUAACUCCUGCGUCAAGGUCCUUAGAGAAAACGACCAAUUACAGCGCACAUGGUCUACUGCCUCCUGUGGUCAGUUUGUAUAAAUCCGAACAAAUAAUUUCAUUUUAACUUGAUGGGGGACAAUAAGAUCAACAUCUACUGCAAACUUAGGUUGUAUAUUUAUUUUUAUUUUUUUUACUUAAGGGUUCUUUAUGGACUUAAGACAGAAAAAUAGACAAAAUCAGUUUCCUGUCAAAUGCAGUCUCCUAUUAGAACACCUGGGUUUUUACAGUUUUUCACUAUUUGCCAACAUAUGAAGUCUAACAUAGAGACUUUAUACAGAUCCCGACCAAUGACCAAGACUAUACUAUACUAUAAAACAAAAAGAAUCAUUCAAAUCUCUCUUACUAUAAAUGAAAUGAUCAUUCAUUUUGACUGCGUUACUGAAGUUGUGUUACAUUUAGCCCAGUAACAACCUCCGAGCGUGGCUCCGACCCCAUGUCACAACACCGUGCCCUGUUAAUAGGUAAUCAAUUCAUGGCGUUGCCUUAUCACUCGGCCGCGAGGCGAGCUGAAGAAGUGAAAGCUAAAAAAAAAAAUCAAAACAAAACAUUGGUCGAUCUGAUCAGAAGGAAGGAGCCUGGGCUGCACGGACACAACGAAACAAAGAUCCCAGCACAACAACAACAACAACAACAACAACAACAACACUUACUUUGGAGUUGACACAAUCCACUGCUUCUUCUUCUUCUUAUGUGUGUGGUACCUGGUACUGAAGGCAGUCUGGUAGGAGUCAGUCCUGAUAGAGUAUCAGUGCUUCACACAAGCCCACUUCAAAAACACCUGAAGCGGCUCUUGAAGAGUGGAUAAACCCGUGACCCGCAGAUCGUCAUCACUGCUGAGACAGGAGAGAGACAGUGGACGUAUUUCACCGAGGAUAAACAGAGUCACGCUGAGGUUCAUGUGGUUCAUACGUACGACGCACACAUCAUACGAAAAACACACGCGUGCUCCACUUCUGCUGCGGUAAACACGACAAAGACGUCUCGACCAGACACGCUUUCACACCACAGACCUUUAAUAAAGACAG